UACGUAGGCAGCAAGCGUUGUUCGGAAUUACUGGGCGUAAAGAGUGUGUAGGCGGUGUUCCAAGUCUGUUGUGAAAUCCUCCGGCUUAACUGGGAGGGUGCGGCGGAAACUGGGAUGCUAGAGGAUGGGAGAGGUAAGCGGAAUUCCUGGUGUAGCGGUGAAAUGCGUAGAUAUCAGGAGGAACACCUGUGGUGUAGACAGCUUACUGGACCAUUUCUGACGCUGAGACACGAAAGCGUGGGUAGCAAACAGG
rnacentral:rRNA from 1 species